GAACACCACGAGGAUGGAGCUGCAAGGAGCCAGGCUCUCCCUCACACACACAUCCUUUUUAAACAGUCACGAUAAGUGAUGCUACAUUCCCGCUUUAAAUGUUGCUGUAACACCACUGACACAUUUGGCACUGUUCAUGCAAAACCCACCUUCAGCUUUCAAGCGCUUGCUGUCUGUUUCCCACUGGCACUGUAAUUCUGAAACAGGUUGUGUCCUGACAGUGUGCUUUUAAAAAUGGUCAAGCUGUGACUCCACACUUACAGGAAGACAGCAGUGACUGCACUGACUCCAUCUCUGUUUGUUUUUCUAUUACACAGCCUGUCUGAGACAAGUUUUGACCAGCUUUGCAAUGAGAUGUGAUAACUUUCUACUGCUCAAUUUAACUGCAAUAAUUGCUGUGAGCUGCAAAUCCACAUGGUGAAGUUCAGACUGAGUUGCUGUCAGAGCUAUGGAGAGAAACUUCAUGGAAAUCAAGAGACUCCUUCUCUUGUUCUCCAUCCUUUUGAGGAGGCAGGAAAAGAGCAGAUUUUGCC